CCCCCACGAUAGGCGCCACCUCCACGUGGUGUGGGGUGGGCAACUCACUUUGAAAGUGAGGCGGAGAGCGCC
rnacentral:ribozyme from 1 species